GAUGAACGCUGGCGGCGUGCCUAAUACAUGCAAGUCGAGCGAACAGACGAGGAGCUUGCUCCUCUGACGUUAGCGGCGGACGGGUGAGUAACACGUGGAUAACCUACCUAUAAGACUGGGAUAACUUCGGGAAACCGGAGCUAAUACCGGAUAAUAUAUUGAACCGCAUGGUUCAAUAGUGAAAGACGGUUUUGCUGUCACUUAUAGAUGGAUCCGCGCCGCAUUAGUUAGUUGGUAGGGUAACGGCUUACCAAGGCAACGAUGGGUAGCUGACCUGAGAGGUGGAUCGGCCACCCUGAACUGGGACACGGUCCAGACUCCUACGGGAGGCAGCAGUAGGGAAUCUUCCGCAAUGGGCGAAAGCUUGACGGAGCAACGCCGCGUGAGUGAUGAAGGUCUUCGGAUCGUAAAACUCUGUUAUUAGGGAAGAACAAAUGUGUAAGUAACUAUGCACGUCUUGACGGUACCUAAUCAGAAAGCCACGGCUAACUACGUG
rnacentral:rRNA from 1 species